UACGUAGGGGGCAAGCGUUGUCCGGAAUCAUUGGGCGUAAAGAGCGUGUAGGCGGCCCGAUAAGUCCGCUGUGAAAGUCCAGGGCUCAACCCUGGGGAGCGGCGGUGAUACUGUCGGGCUCGAGUCCGGAAGAGGAGUGUGGAAUUCCGUGGUGUAGCGGUGAAAUGCGCAGAUAUCAGGAGGAACACCAAUGGCGAAGGCAGCACUCUGGGACGUGACUGACGCUGAGACGCGAAAGCGUGGGGAGCAAACAGGAU
rnacentral:rRNA from 1 species